GAUGAACGCUGGCUACAGGCUUAACACAUGCAAGUCGAGGGGAAACGACGGGGAAGCUUGCUUCCCCGGGCGUCGACCGGCGCACGGGUGAGUAGCGCGUAUCCAACCUGCCUCUGACUGAGGGAUAACCCGUCGAAAGUCGGCCUAAUACCUCAUGGUAUCGUCUGCGGGCAUCCAACGACGAUUAAAGAUUUCAUCGGUCAGGGAUGGGGAUGCGUCUGAUUAGCUUGUUGGCGGGGUAACGGCCCACCAAGGCUACGAUCAGUAGGGGUUCUGAGAGGUAGGUCCCCCACAUUGGAACUGAGACACGGUCCAAACUCCUACGGGAGGCAGCAGUGAGGAAUAUUGGUCAAUGGGCGAGAGCCUGAACCAGCCAAGUAGCGUGCAGGAAGACGGCCCUAUGGGUUGUAAACUGCUUUUAUGCGGGGAUAAAGUGAGGGACGUGUCCCUCAUUGCAGGUACCGCAUGAAUAAGGACCGGCUAAUUCCGUG
rnacentral:rRNA from 1 species